UAAGUUAAUCAUCCUACUGUUUUCAAUCAGAAUUGAUCAACUAUGAAAUUGAACAAUUAAGACGAUCAAUGUUUUGACCAACCAAAUUGGAAAUGUAAUUAACAAUUUAAAAUUCAAACCUCGAUUAAGCCUAAAUUGAUGAAGGAUGAUGAUGAUGAGGUACCACAAUUAACAAUCAGUGUAAACUAAUAUGAUUAUGUUUAAUAGCCGAUACUAAAUUGUAACUGAUUAUGAUACCUUGAAAUGAGAUAAACGAUAAUUAUUGAUUGUAAAGAGUUAAAGUAAUCGCCUUUAUUCAAGGUUAAUCAAAUCGCAAUUAAAGGUAAGAUGAUAAUCAGGUAUCAAAGAUUAAGAUGAAAACUAUUAUUUCUCAUCAAAAAUUGAACAUCGUUGAUUAAACUAAUCAAAUCUUUUAAGGAUUUAGCCAAUUAUUUGUUUCUAUUAUUAAAUCAAUCAACAGGCGUUCAUUGUUUAUCAUCAAAUCUUAAUCCUUAAUCUUGCCAGAAUUAACCUUGGAUUCACCGAGUAAUCAGUUAGAUGAGAUUUUUUUAUUCAUUUUUUUUGACAAAGGAAAAAAUUUCAUUCAGUUUAUACUGAAUGAAGAUGAAGAUGAUGAUGAUGAUGAUGAUGAUUAUAGUAUUAUGAUGUUCAAUGUAAUGAAGGCGUUCUCAUGAUAGAUCAGUUUGAUGAUUGGCCUCAAAAGGAAUUAAAAUUUUCACUUCGAACCAGAAUAAUCGAUUCUGACCAGCCCUGAAAAUCUGAAGAAAAAAAAUCAACGGGAAACCUGAAUUCUGAAAGAAAGCAUGGGAAGAUAAAUGAAAGAGAAUCAGGAUGACGAUGAAGAUGAAGGUGUUGACCAAUUCUAUUAGGCGACCUCACCUUUUGCGAAAGAAGAAAAAGUUUAGUAUAAAAACGAACUGAAUCCAAGUUGUAAAUCAUCAGUUUCGAAGUAUCAAUCGAAGUAACAAUUUAAAACAAACUUUCAAUUCUCACCAAACAACAAACACCAAACUCAACUCAAUCAAAAUGAAGACUGUUAUGGUUCUCCUUGUUAUCGCUCUCUUUGCCGCUGCCACUUUCUCAGUUGCUCAAAGCCAAUACUACGCUGCUCCUUCAGCCGCUUACGUUGGAUACACCGGCUAUGGUUAUGCCGCCGCUCCAGUCUACACCGGAUACGCUCACACUUACCCUGCAGCCGCCGCUUACACUUACCUCAAGAAAUAGAUUCGCCCCUCAGAUGACCAAUGGCUUUGGAUGAAUGAAUAUGAUUUGGUUAUCAUCUUUGUCUUCCAUUACCUACUCUCUCUCUCUCUCUCUCUCAUUCAGUUUGCCGAUCAGUUUACCAGUCAAUCAAAAUCUCUCACUCACUCACUUUCUCUCUCUCUCUCUCUCCUUUCAGAUUCAAUGUUAGUUGUUAUCCUAUUUGGUUAGUUUAUCUUCUUGUUAAUUGGAAAAAGUUUCGAAAACUUUUUUCUUGUUUUUCCUGUUACAUGAAUUCACUUUUUCAAUGCAAUUUAAUAAAAUGAAUUAAAAAAAAUUAA